rnacentral:rRNA from 1 species
GCUAACUACGUGCCAGCAGCCGCGGUAAUACGUAGGGGGCAAGCGUUAUCCGGAUUUACUGGGUGUAAAGGGGGCGCAGACGGCGAUGCAAGCCAGGAGUGAAAGCCCGGGGCCCAACCCCGGGACUGCUCUUGGAACUGCGUGGCUGGAGUGCAGGAGGGGCAGGCGGAAUUCCUGGUGUAGCGGUGAAAUGCGUAGAUAUCAGGAGGAACACCGGUGGCGAAGGCGGCCUGCUGGACUGCAACUGACGUUGAGGCCCGAAAGCGUGGGGAGCAAACAGGAUUAGAAACCCGGGUAGUCCUAAC